CUUUGUGUGUAUUUUUAACCAUUUUUCAAAUUAAAGUGUAACUAAAUUAUCUUCUAUCUACGGGUGAUUUUUUAAUUGGUGUUAAUUCUAGUGAAGUUUGGUUCCCCCACUUCUAUGUGGGUGGUCCCAUCUUUUUAUAGUUUAUAAUGUUACAUAGGGUUAUGCCCUUCUUACCUACCUAAACCCCUUCCAAGCAAAGCAGUAAGUUUUAGAACUUACAUCUGAGGCUAAUUUUUUAAUUUUCAG